rnacentral:rRNA from 1 species
GUGUCUUAAUUGGAUUCUGGAAUGAAUGGUUGGAUGAGAAAUCUACUUUCUUUGGUUUAUUUUCAAAAACUUGAUUUCUAAGUGAAAAAGCUUAGAUUAGGUUAGAGGACGAGAAGACCCUAUAGAACUUUAUUGAUCUUCUGAGAUAGAAAUAUUGGAAAUAUUGCUUUAUUUCGGUUGGGUGAAUUUUGUUGGGGUGACAGAAAAAAUUUUAUAACUUUUUAAGCUUAUAUCAUUUAUGUAUGAUAUUUUGAUCUUGUUUUAUGACAAAAAGACUAAGUUACCUUAGGGAUAACAGCGUUAUUGUUUCGGAGAGUUCAUAUUGAUGAGACAGUUUGCGACCUCGAUGUUGAAUUAAAAAUAGUCCCCAGGAGUAUAGCAUUGGUGACUAGGUCCUGCUUCGACCUUUAGAUUUUUACA